CCUCCCCCCCCAAUUUUUAUUUAUGGCCCCCACUCACCGCUCAGGGGUGGGGGCCGGGGGGGGAGGAUAGUAGGUCCCCUCCCCCUUAUUGUUAUUUUUGGCCCCCAUCCGCCGGAUAGGGGCCGGGGGGAGGACAUU